UACGAAGGGGGCUAGCGUUGUUCGGAAUUACUGGGCGUAAAGCGUUUGUAGGCGGUUUUACAAGUCAGUGGUGAAAGCCCAGGGCUUAACCCUGGAAUUGCCAUUGAAACUGUAUAGCUAGAGAAUGUUAGAGGAAAGUGGAAUUCCUAGUGUAGGAGUUAAAUCCGUAGAGAUUAGGAGGAAUAUCGAUGGCGAAGGCAGCUUUCUGGGACAUUUCUGACGCUGAGAAACGAAAGCGUGGGUAGCAAACAGG
rnacentral:rRNA from 1 species